CCUGGCCUGUCCUGUUCUGUUAUUGCCAGCAUCCUGGUGGGACAAUUUCAUGGGUGGAAUCAGAGUGCGUUAGAGUAAGAAAUCUAAAGAGAUGCUGUUUUCUGCCUAAUCUGUUUUCUCCCCAUGGGUCAAUUUGGCUGCACUUUUAUUUUGAAAUCAAAGAACCUAGAAACAAAUGAGCAAACACCUUAUUAUUGAGAACCAUCUGCAGAAAAUCCCACGGAGCAGCUCCAAGGUCAAAGCUUAUCUGUUUUGCCUCAUGCACAAAACAGCCAGCACCAGGAGACCGGCAGGAUGGGAAAUCACAGAAUCAUAAGAAGUUUGGGUAAAAGGAAGCAUCUUCUUUCAGUUGAAUGUAAAGUGAGGACUCUAAGAGAGGCGAAACAAUUUGCUUAAGUCACACAGCUCUGAAGGAGCAGAGCCUAUCUCAACCUGGAUCUACACGAUUCUAGGAGCUGUGUUCUGAACCACUCUCUCUCAUCAAUUACAACAAAUCCUUGAAUGACAAUCCACGGGAGCACGAAUAUAAGUUCCUUGAAAGCAGAGAUUUUGUCUGACUUGAUGACUGCCAUCUCCCCAGGACCUAGAACAGGGACCAGGUCACACUCAGGAUUUGAGCUGUAUCGAAAUCCACGCUCUGCCACCCACCGGCUGUGACCGUGAACAAGUUAUUUAACUGCUCUGAGACUGGUUUCUUCAUCUAUAAAAUGGCAACGAUUUUUACUGUGCAAGUUUCUGAUGAGGAUUAAAAGAGAUGAUGCAUGUGCUACACGUGUUAUUAAACUAAAAAAUACCACUGACAGAUUUCCAGAGGAGCAAUUUUGACCAAAAUUUGCCGAUUUCCUUUCCUCUCUCUGAGGAUCUGUGUGGUAUAAAGAGGAAGGGCAAGAAGAAGGAAAAAUGGACUCAAAGAAGGAUCAAGAAGGACCAAGGUGGAAAGAAUUGCUGGAAGACAUGGUGAAAUAGCAUUAACUUCACUCAGCCUGUCUGCACUGGACUAAUCCCCUCGGAACCAACCAGGAAAUCUCCUGUGGCUCAGCAGACAGAGGCAGCUAAACCAGGGACCUGCUGACCCCAGAGCUGGAACGUCCCCCAUCCACCUGCCACGGAGUCAGAGGCAGGAAGGCCACUCAACGGGGAUGGUGGAGGGUCGGCCUUAGAGGAUCUCUGGAGUCCCUUGUCAGGAUGUUUUACAAACUACAAAACGCUGUGUCAUUUCACAUGCUUAUUUAAUCUGAUGUUUACAAUUAUCCUGAGAAAAAGGUGUAACUGAAGAAUCACUGAAAGUCAUCACCUAGAAAGGCCUGACUCAAGAUUCAAACCUAGUUCUUCCCACUAUCAUGGCUUCAUAAUAGAGCUGCUUCCAACUUGAUCGCAGACAGGCUGGUGCCCUGCCCCAUCUACCCCGAGCUCACUCGUUGGUGGUCAGCACGCUGACAACUCUGCGUCAGGCGGCUCUGUUUCUCUUUCCUCUGUCGGAAGGCUUUCUUGGGAUCAUGAGAGCUUAGCAAGGAAUGGAACCUGGAAAGGUGGGGAUGAGAAUUUAAUGCCUCUUGGGGCAACCUCAACCGAUGGGGUUGUACAGAAGUGGUUAGAUGCCAGCCUCCGGCAUGUUCCAUGGGUUUCCAGGGGUGCCCCCAGCUCCCAUGAGCCCCUGUUGCUCGCAGUGGUAGUAACCCACUCAUACCACAUGUCCUAUAUUGGCUCUGUCCACCUCCUGUCACUUUCCGCACUUCCUCAUGUGUGCUUUCUGGAAUCACUUCCUGUGUAAACAACCAGCACGAAAUCUUUAUCUCAAGGUCCACUUUUGGAGGAACUCAAACUGAGGCAAAUUCUAAAAUCAUGUGGCUGCUGCUACUGUUGUUAUUGUUUUUAAUUAUACCACGUUCCUGCCAAAAAAAGUAAUAAUGACCAUGCUGAUCAGUCAGAACCUGAUGAUGAUUCUUCUAAGACCUGAAAAAAGCUGAAGAUAACGUUCUGGACUAAGCACAAGUUAUUCCUCCUAUUUUGCUAAGGAGCCAUCUUUUUUUUUUUUAAAGAUCAGCACCUGAGCCAACAACUGUUGCCAAUCUUCUUUUUUUUUCUUUUUCUGCUUUUUCUCCCCAA